rnacentral:rRNA from 1 species
UACGUAGGGUGCAAGCGUUGUCCGGGAUUAUUGGGCGUAAAGAGCUCGUAGGCGGUCUGUCGCGUCUGCUGUGAAAACUCGGGGCUUAACCCCGGGCCUGCAGUGGGUACGGGCAGACUAGAGGUGCGGUAGGGGAGACUGGAAUUCCUGGUGUAGCGGUGAAAUGCGCAGAUAUCAGGAGGAACACCGGUGGCGAAGGCGGGUCUCUGGGCAGUUACUGACGCUGAGGAGCGAAAGCGUGGGGAGCGAACAGG